UCCAACCGAUUCUGUCGGAGGAGGAUGCCGAAGGCAGGGCUGAUGACUGGGGUGAAGUCGUAACAAGGUAGCCGUACCGGAAGGUGUGGCUGGAUCACCUCCUUUUCAGGGAGACCUACUGACUUAGAGAGACAGGAGAGACGAGAGCGUCCAGAGGAGUUUGAAGAAACUCUUGCUCGAGACUCGAGUCACUCAAACCAAAUGGAUACAUCUCCUAAGUUGGUCAUCCCAAGGUCGUUCGGGGAAUAAGUGUUAGGCUUUCAAACUAGAUUGGUUCGGUUCGUGGGCUAUUAGCUCAGGUGGUUAGAGCGCACCCCUGAUAAGGGUGAGGUCCCUGGUUCGAGUCCAGGAUGGCCCACCUUUACAGUAGGCGGUGGACAGUAAACAGCAAGCUGCAAAAGCGAUUGGUUGAGCGGUGAAGACUGUUGAUUGAAGACUGAGAACUGUUUUUGGGGGUUUAGCUCAGUUGGUAGAGCGCCUGCUUUGCAAGCAGGAUGUCAGCAGUUCGAGUCUGCUAACCUCCACUGGGCAAAAGCCCAAGCGAUAGAUUUUCAGCAACUCGUUUAGAGCAGCUUGGGAGGCUGAGUCUAAAGAGCCUGCUGGAAGUUUCCAGCCAGAACCUAGAAAACUGCAUAGCGAUAAUAGUCAGGUAGUAAAAACAGACACCAAUGAUAACUUUGUGGUCAAGCUACAAAGGGCUAACGGUG
rnacentral:misc_RNA from 1 species